GAUGAACGCUGGCGGCGUGCCUAAUACAUGCAAGUCGAGCGAACGGACGAGAAGCUUGCUUCUCUGAUGUUAGCGGCGGACGGGUGAGUAACACGUGGAUAACCUACCUAUAAGACUGGGAUAACUUCGGGAAACCGGAGCUAAUACCGGAUAAUAUUUUGAACCGCAUGGUUCAAAAGUGAAAGACGGUCUUGCUGUCACUUAUAGAUGGAUCCGCGCUGCAUUAGCUAGUUGGUAAGGUAACGGCUUACCAAGGCAACGAUGCAUAGCCGACCUGAGAGGGUGAUCGGCCACACUGGAACUGAGACACGGUCCAGACUCCUACGGGAGGCAGCAGUAGGGAAUCUUCCGCAAUGGGCGAAAGCCUGACGGAGCAACGCCGCGUGAGUGAUGAAGGUCGUCGGAUCGUAAAACUCGGUUAUUAGGGAAGAACAUAUGUGUAAGUAACUGGGCACAUCUUGACGGUACCUAAUCAGAAAGCCACGGCUAACUACGUGC
rnacentral:rRNA from 1 species